GGGGAGGAGAGGAGAAGCGCAGGGGAACUUCCUCUUCCGGAUGCCUCAUGGGAGGAAGACGGUGGGCAGGGCGGCUUCUGUGCUCUUCCCAGGAUGGAAGCAGCAGUUGGCAGACAAAGAGGAUGGCAAUAAGAGCACGCUGGACAACUGAGGAUAACAAAGCAACACUGAAUAGCAAAGCAAGUCAGUCCAGAAAUCAAAUUAUUUUCCAUUUCCUUCGGAGAGCUACACAAUUCUUCACCUUCCUCAACAAGUGAGAAAGAACGAGAGAAAAUCAAGAAGAGAUUUCUAGCUGGGAAAAAUAGUGUAUGAUAUUCAAGCAUAUAUUACAUGAAAAGAUUAUUUUUCCAUUCAGCAAAUGGGAAAUUUUUGGAAGUUACUGGGCAGGAAACUGUCAAAUGUAAAGCCAUGUAGAGCAGACAGUGUUGAAGGCCUCACUCUGAAACGAAGAAAAUGGCUUGAAACAAAGCACUACUACAGAAGGGAUCAUCCAUAUUUUUUACCUCCUCAAGAAUAUUAGUUGUGGAAAACCUCCAUAGAUGUGCCUCUUGUGAGAAAGAUUCAACUUGCAAAUCACAGCUGAUUAUGCCUGAGAGGAUCCAAACUGGAGAAAAACCUUACAUAGACUCUGAAUGUGGCAAAACCUCUGAUCAGAGCAGCUCAUGAUGAACCAGAGAAUUUACACAGGAGAGAAACUGUAUGAAUGUUCUGAUUGUGAGACAAGUUUCAGUACCAGUUCCAACCAUAUUAGCCACCAGAUGAAUCACACAGGCGAGAAAUUCUGUAAAUGCC
rnacentral:lncRNA from 1 species